UACAGAGGGGGCAAGCGUUGUUCGGAAUUACUGGGCGUAAAGGGCGCGUAGGCGGCCUGCUAAGUCGAACGUGAAAUCCCUGGGCUCAACCCAGGAACUGCGUCCGAUACUGGUUGGCUUGAAUCCGGGAGAGGGAUGUGGAAUUCCAGGUGUAGCGGUGAAAUGCGUAGAUAUCUGGAGGAACACCGGUGGCGAAGGCGGCAUCCUGGACCAACACUGACGCUGAGUGAGCGAAAGCCAGGGGAGCAAACAGG
rnacentral:rRNA from 1 species